rnacentral:rRNA from 1 species
UACGUAGGGGGGCAAGCGUUGUCCGGAAUCAUUGGGCGUAAAGCGCGCGUAGGCGGCUUUGCAAGUCGGGUGUGAAAUCCCCAGGCUUAACCUGGGAACUGCAUUCGAGACUGCAUUGCUAGAGUAUGGGAGAGGGAAGUGGAAUUUCCGGUGUAGCGGUGAAAUGCGUAGAUAUCGGAAGGAACAUCAGUGGCGAAAGCGACUUCCUGGACCAAUACUGACGCUCAUGUGCGAAAGCGUGGGGAGCAAAC